CUUUUCCUUAAAUAAAACAGGUAUUUCUCCUUGGAGUAGUAUAUACCAGCCACUUACAAUUAAAGGAGAAAUGUAAUUCUGAUCACAGCUCCUAUCAGCCGUUAUGCCUGCCCCUUCCUGUAUGUAAACAGCUUUGUACAGAAAGACAAAAAUCUUGGUGGGAUGCGGUUUGUACUCUGAUUCACAGAAAAGCACUACCUGGAAACAUAGCAAAAUUGAGACUUCUAGUUCAGCAUGGAAUAAACACUCUAAGAGCCCAGGAAAAACAUGGCCUUCAGCCUGCUCUGCUUGUACAUUGGGCAAAAUGCCUUCAGAAAAUGGGCAGCGGUCUUAAUUUUUAUGAUCAACAAGAAUACAUAGGGAGAAGUGUUCAUUAUUGGAAGAAAGUUUUGCCAUUGUUGAAGAUAAUAAAGAAGAACAGUAUUCCUGAACCUAUUGAUCCUCUGUUUAAACAUUUUCAUAGUGUAGACAUUCAGGCAUCAGAAAUUGUUGAAUGUGAAGAAGACGCACACAUAACUUUUGCUGUAUUGGAUGCAGUAAAUGGAAAUAUAGAAGAUGCUGUGACUGCUUUUGAAUCUAUACAAAGUGUUGUUUCUUAUUGGAAUCUUGCACUGAUUUUUCACAGGAAGGCAGAAGACAUUGCAAAUGAUGCCCUUUCUCCUGAAGAACAAGAAGAAUGCAGAAAUUAUCUGACAAAGACCAGGGACUACCUAAUAAAGAUUAUAGAUGACAGUGAUUCAAAUCUUUCAGUGGUGAAGAAAGUAAGUAGCAGGUUGUUGUAUGUAUGUUCUUACUGAUAACCCACUGGUCAGUGUUUUUGCGUUGGUCUUAUAUUUUGGUAAUUUCAAAAAUACUCAGUAAUAUGUUGUUAUUAAUGCACAGAAGGGAUGUGUGUGUCUAAAUGCUUAUAUUUGCUUGCUUUGUCUUAGGUUUGGUGUGUCUUUUUAAACUUGGGAAUCUAGGUAUAUGCUCUUAAAAAGUACUUCUUGGGGAAUUAGAAAAGAUUUCUAAGAUAAGACAUUGAUUUUGUUAUCUUAGCAGUUUAAUCAAAACAAAUAUUAUAACCUCAGGACUAAUUCUUAAUGAACUUUGCUGAAAUUGAAAGUUGUUGCUGACAACUUAAGAGCUUUUCUUCUCAUCCUCAUCAGCCAUUAUGAACGCCCUUGUUUUCUUGCUGUCAGCUGUUUGAGAUUGUCAUGAUGAUGUUAAAUUAUGUUCAGUCUUCUGAGUGUUUUGUUGAUUAAUUUGUGUUACUACUCUUUUAUUAGGAUUUAUGUUGUCUGGUGUAUUGUAGCAUCUGUAUUUCUGUCACCAUUGAAAAUCAGUUAGAAAACAUCAGUAACUUAUUUUGUUCACUUGGAAAAGCUUUCCAAGUUAACAUUCCUCUACAAUUAUCAUGGUUAACAGAAGUAAUAGAAAGAGCAUGGACUUUAGAAUCAGAAGAUGUUAGAUUGUACAACACUUUUCUGUGUUCAUGAAGAAAAAAAUAGAAUAAAGACAAAAAAAUAAAAAUAAUAAUACAAAACAACAGAAAAACAAAGAAAAAAGAUAAUUAAAAAACACCUUCACGUGUAUUAUUAUUUAAGUAAACAGGAAAGAAUGGAAUCAUUUCAUUGUGAAAUUGUUUCUAAGUGUUUUAAAUGCUCUUUUGUUAUUUUUAUUUUUUUUUUUAGUAUUCUCCCAAAAUACCACGUCGAUGGACAGAAGAUCAGAUUUCUUUACUGAAAAUGAUUGGCCAACAAGUAGAGGCCAUUAAGGUAAGUCACUUAAUUUCUCUAGCUGUACUUUUUAUUCCAAGAUUCCUUCCCUGGCCACUCUCUCACUUUUUUUCUGAAGCUGGUCAGAAUGUCCCCUUGCCAUCCAAAUAGUAUGGCAAGGGGACAUUUUGGUCUUUUUUUUUUUUUUAAGGCAGGGUCUUGUUGUGCAAGCUGGAGUACAGUGGUAUGAUCACAGCUUACUGCGGCUUUGACCUCCUAGCUCAAGAGAGGCUCUUGGCUCAGCCUGCCACGAAGCCAGGACUACAGACAGUCACACGCCACUAGGCCCAGCUAAUUGUAUUUUUUGUAGAGAUGGGAUUUUGCCAUGUUGCCCAGGGUGGCCUUGAACUCCUGGCUCAAACAAUCAUCCUGCUUCAGCCUCCCAAAGUGCUGGGAUUGCAGGUGUGAGCCACUGUGCCCAGCCUACAUACCUUGGUCUUGACCCUUUACCAUAUUUUGUUUUGUUUUGUUUUGAGAUGGAGUCUCACUCUGUUGCCCAGUCUGGAGUGCAAUGAUGUGAUCUUGGCUCACUGCAACCUCCACCUC
ensembl:lincRNA